AUAAGAAUCUAACGUAAGGUCACUGACACUUAUAUAUUAUUUUACUGUCCUAUCAUUAUCUUUAUUUUGUUAAGCUAUUUUAACUUUUUGGCCUCCCCCCUCUUCCACUCUCAAAGGUCAGAGUGGACCUCUGCUACAUCUUUAGAUGAGAGGGAGAUUGCCAGGAGAGUAGUUUAUUAUUAUAUAUCCAUUUAUUAUAUAAUAGGAAGAUAGUCUGGAAGUCUAUAAGAAUAAUGAUAUACCCUUACUAAUAGUGUCGUCCAAAAGCUGGUGCCAGCAGACUCGGUAACACCAGAGACGCGAACGUUAAUCAUCUUGAAUGGGCAUAAAGGGUUUGUAGGCAGCUUUAAAUUAUUAAAGAUAGAAUCUAAUAGAGGUUUAUAGAAUGCUUAGUGUAGGGCUAAUAUCCGCAAAUUCUAAGUGGACUACUAGAGGCGAAGGCGAUACUCCUUAAAAGAUUGACGCUGAGAAACGAGGGUUGGGAUCGGAAAUAGGAUUAGAGACCCUAGUACCCCCAACUGUAAACGAUGAAUGGAAGAUAUUUAUCUUGGUAAGUAUCGAAGUGAACUACGAUAACCAUUCCGCCUUGCGAGUAUACUUGCAAAAGUGAAAGCAAAAAUU
rnacentral:rRNA from 1 species